rnacentral:rRNA from 1 species
CGAACGCUGGCGGCGUGCCUAAUACAUGCAAGUCGAACGCUUCUUUUUCCACCGGAGCUUGCUCCACCGGAAAAAGAGGAGUGGCGAACGGGUGAGUAACACGUGGGUAACCUGCCCAUCAGAAGGGGAUAACACUUGGAAACAGGUGCUAAUACCGUAUAACAAUCGAAACCGCAUGGUUUUGAUUUGAAAGGCGCUUUCGGGUGUCGCUGAUGGAUGGACCCGCGGUGCAUUAGCUAGUUGGUGAGGUAACGGCUCACCAAGGCGACGAUGCAUAGCCGACCUGAGAGGGUGAUCGGCCACAUUGGGACUGAGACACGGCCCAAACUCCUACGGGAGGCAGCAGUAGGGAAUCUUCGGCAAUGGACGAAAGUCUGACCGAGCAACGCCG